GACGAACGCUGGCGGCGCGCUUAACACAUGCAAGUCGAGCGAGAACCAGGCCUUCGGGCCUGGGACAGCGGCGAACGGGUGAGUAACACGUGGGUAAUCAACCCUCGAUACUGGGAUAGCCCGGGGAAACCCGGAUUAAUACCGGAUGGCCCUUUGGAUCCUCGGAUCUGAAGGAAAAGGUAGCUUCGGCCUCCGAUCGAGGACGAGCCCGCGGCGGAUUAGCUUGUUGGUGAGGUAACGGCUCACCAAGGCGACGAUCCGUAGCUGGUCUGAGAGGACGAUCAGCCACACUGGGACUGAGACACGGCCCAGACUCCUACGGGAGGCAGCAGUGGGGAAUCUUGCGCUAAUGCGGGAAACCGUGACGCAGCGACGCCGCGUGGGG
rnacentral:rRNA from 1 species